rnacentral:rRNA from 1 species
GACGAACGCUGGCGGCGUGCUUAACACAUGCAAGUCGAACGGAAAGGCCCUGCUUUUGUGGGGUUCUCGAUUGGCGAACGGGUGAGUAACACGUGAGUAACCUGCCCUUGACUUUGGGAUAACUUCAGGAAACUGGGGCUAAUACCGGAUAGGAUCUCCUGCUGCAUGGUGGGGGUUGGAAAGUUUCGGCGGUUGGGGAUGGACUCGCGGCUUAUCAGCUUGUUGGUGGGGUAGUUGCUUACCAAGGCUUUGACGGGUAGCCGGCCUGAGAGGGUGACCGGCGACCUGGGGACUGAGAGACGGACCAGACUCCUACGGGAGGCAGUAGUGGGGAAUAUUGCCCAAUGGGCGGAAGCCUGAUGCAGAAACGCCGCGUGCGGGAUGACGGCCUUCGGGUUGUAAACCGCUUUCGCCUGUGACGAAGCGUGAGUGACGGUAAUGGGUAAAGAAGCACCGGCUAACUACGUG